CCAAGACCCCCACACUUCCCGAUCCCCAGCCAGAGAUGUCGCGAGCCCUAUCCCCUUUCUCCAAGGACCGCUGCAGUGGAGAACCUGGGGUUUGGAACCAUCAAACCAUCAAGUCAAAGUGAGUUGUGUUCUCAUGUGGGAUCC